rnacentral:tRNA from 1 species
GGAGAGAUGGCCGAGUGGUCGAAGGCGCUCCCCUGCUAAGGGAGUAUGCGGCAAAACUGUAUCGAGGGUUCGAAUCCCUCUCUCUCCGCCA